GACGAACGCUGGCGGCGUGCUUAACACAUGCAAGUCGAACGGAAAGGCCCUGCUUUUGUGGGGUGCUCGAGUGGCGAACGGGUGUGUAACACGUGAGUAACCUGCCCUUGACUUUGGGAUAACUUCAGGAAACUGGGGCUAAUACCGGAUAGGAGCUCCUGCUGCAUGGUGGGGGUUGGAAAGUUUCGGCGGUUGGGGAUGGUCUCGCGGCUUAUCCGCUUGUUGGUGGGGUAGUGGCUGACCAAGGCUUUGACGGAUAGCCGGCCUGGGAGGGUGAACGGGCACAAUGGGACUGCGGUACGGACCAGAAUGGUACGGGAGGCAGUAGUGGGGAAUAUUGCACAGUGGGCGGAAGCGUGAGGCAGCAGCGUCGCGUGCGGGAUGACGGCCUUCGGGUGGUAAACAGCUUUCGCAUGUGACGAGGCGUGAGUGACGGUAAUGGGUAAAGAAGCACCGGCUAACUACGUG
rnacentral:rRNA from 1 species